GCUGGCGGCGUGCUUAACACAUGCAAGUCGAGCGGUAAGGCCCUUCGGGGUACACGAGCGGCGAACGGGUGAGUAACACGUGAGCAACCUGCCCCUGACUCCGGGAUAAGCCGGGGAAACCCGGUCUAAUACCGGAUAGGACGCUUCGUCGCAUGGCGGGGUGUGGAAAGGUUUCUUUCCGGUCAGGGAGGGGCUCGCGGCCUAUCAGCUUGUUGGUGGGGUGAAGGCCUACCAAGGCGAUUACGGGUAGCCGGCCUGAGAGGGCGACCGGCCACACUGGGACUGAGACACGGCCCAGACUCCUACGGGAGGCAGCAGUGGGGAAUAUUGCGCAAUGGGCGGAAGCCUGACGCAGCGACGCCGCGUGGGGGAUGACGGCCUUCGGGUUGUAAACCUCUUUUACCACCGACGCAGGCCCGUGCUUCUGUGCGGGUUGACGGUAGGUGGGGAAUAAGGACCGGCCAACUACGUGCCAGCAGCCGCGGUAAUACGUAGGGUCCGAGCGUUGUCCGGAAUUAUUGGGCGUAAAGAGCUCGUAGGUGGCGUGUCGCGUCUGCUGUGUAAGUCCGGGGCUUAACUCCGGUUUUGCAGUGGAUACGGGCAUGCUAGAGGUAGGCAGGGGAGACUGGAAUUCCUGGUGUAGCGGUGAA
rnacentral:rRNA from 1 species